UAACCAGGAACUCCUAUCCCUACCUCCCCGCGGUACUGACCGGGAUACGAUCAGUCCCAAUCACCGUGGGAACUUUGGUCGUAUGCUGACAGGGAAGG
rfam:Aedes albopictus isolate Foshan contig77081, whole genome shotgun sequence.